rnacentral:rRNA from 1 species
AUUGAACGCUGGCGGCAUGCCUUACACAUGCAAGUCGAACGGCAGCACGGGGCAACCUGGUGGCGAGUGGCGAACGGGUGAGUAAUGCAUCGGAACGUACCUUUCAGUGGGGGAUAACGUAGCGAAAGUUACGCUAAUACCGCAUAUUCUGUGAGCAGGAAAGCAGGGGAUCGCAAGACCUUGCGCUGAUUGAGCGGCCGAUGUCAGAUUAGCUAGUUGGUGAGGUAAAGGCUCACCAAGGCGACGAUCUGUAGCGGGUCUGCGAGGAUGAUCCGCCACACUGGAACGGAGACACGGUCCAGAAUCCUACGGGAGGCAGCAGUGGGGAAUUUUGGACAAUGGGGGCAACCCUGAUCCAGCCAUGCCGCGUGAGUGAAGAAGGCCUUCGGGUUGUAAAGCUCUUUCGGCCGGGAAGAAAUCGCACGGGCUAAUACCCUGUGUGGAUGACGGUACCGGAAUAAGAAGCACCGGCUAACUACGUGCCAGCCGCCGCCGUAACAC